UCAUUCUGGAGCCAGAUCCUCUCAGCCCAACUCUGCUCUAUCAGUCUUCUGGCCCGGAGGGUGACACCCACAGCCUGUUUAUCAGAGCCAAGCAGUGAUGACACAUCCAGGCCUUUGCCAGGCAGCAUCCUGAUGUAGGUAUCAAAGUCCAGCCCUCCAGCGCUGUGUUGCAUAGACCCAGCUGAGACCAGAGCUCCAGAAGACACCAGCGGGGUUUCCCUGGCCACGGAGAGUUUGGCUCAGGACCUGCCUGCCUCUCUGCUCGGUAGGCAACGGGCUCUGAGCGGGCAUCCCGGCCCGAGGGAUGGGCUGGUUGUUCUAUGACGCCUAUUUCAGCUAAGGAGGCUGGGUCGACAGGUGUAACCGCGUUUUCCCCCAGUGCCCACCCUUUCCUAGCAGACAAUCAGAGGGAGAGAAGACCACCUUUUGGAUUUCUCUGGGGGAAGGAAAUUCAAAGCCAACAGGUCUCUCUCCCUGGGAGAGUGGAGGCACCCGCCAGGGUUCCCAGGAAACUGCCAGCUCAGCCUACCUGACAAAUAACCUCUCCUGACAAGUGGCCGAUUGACUCAAAACAGCAGCGCCACUGACGAAAAACAAACCAAUAGCAGUUUGAGAUGAGGGGUGUUCCAGGUACACGUGCAAGACGCAGCUUCUCCUCCCAACACAAAGUGAUAGGGAAAUAAUCAGAACAAAUUUACCUUGGAGCAGCAAGACUGUGCUUGCUUCAGCCCUGUCUUCACCUGGAUUACUCAUGGUGAUCUCGGGAGGCCCUGCCUGCAGAGUCAUGAAUCAGAUUCAACUAAUGUUCACGAGUGCCUGCCCUGUGCUGGACACUUUGCUGACCGUUCCUAUGACUUCAUUUGAUUCCUGCUUCUCCUUCCGAAGAGUCUAACUGGUCUCAUUUUACAGACACCUGGAGUAACGAAGAUCCUUACCUACGACCUCCUAAGUGUUGAGUGAGGAGCUGGGUUUCUGGCAUGGUAGUCUGGGUUUCUUUUCUGAUAUCACGGCCUGUGUUGCUUCUACCGACCCUUGUCUCCAUGUUAUCAGAGUCAGUGAAACCCACCAACACUUAGAUGUUAAGUAGCAAUGAGGGUAAGAAAAAAAAUACUCUUCUUUGCUAACUUCAAUUUUAUAAACAAAAAUCAGGCAGUUGCAUACAGAUAAUAGAGAACAGAGCAAUCCAUAAUUUGAGUAGUCAUGAGUCAUGAUCUUAUUUCAACCCAUGUCUUUAUGUGUGUGUGUGUGUGUGUGUGUGUGUGUGUGUGUUCAAUUUUUUACAGUGUAAACAAGAUCUCCAUGUUACAGAAAGGUGUGAAAGGUGAACACAGCAGAUUUGAAUUACAGAGUAUAUAGGUGUGGGCUGUCCCCCAGCUCAUGGGAUUUCAUCAAAAGUCCUAUGUAGCAUGUGUCCAAAGACAGCAAACAGUGUCUUGGCAGAAGCCAUGUCACAUUGGUGAUAUCAGGGAGUCACGCACCCACGUGGGACCUAAAGAUAAGAAAUAUUCCCGCAUAGUCUGUCCCAAUCAAUACAAUAUGUGCCAGCUUCACAUGAAAUGUCCUUUUGGCAAAUACAAAGGUUCUCUUAGGGAAACAUAGGAUAGACCCAUGCUGUUAUUUUUAUCUAACAUUAAAAUAGUCAAGUGCAUUAUUAAAGAACAAAAAUCAAUUAUCCCUAAUACAUCACCCUACUAAUAAGGCUAAUUUCACUUUUGUGUAGACCUUCCUGAGGACAUCACUGUCUUUAGAAUGCAUCAUUUUGGCUCCUGUGGUCUCUUGCCCUUUCCUGAAAGUUCUAACUUGGUAUGAAAACAAUUUCAGACAGUCUCCAUCUCAUCCUGCGGUUUGCAUGUACACCAAAACCUUUGACACGGCAAACAAAGCCUCCAAGAACCUUUACUUUCUAAUCAUGUAUGUGCAUACUCUUAGAAUGUUGUAAUAAAAUACUCCGUAAAUAAAAUGUGGGCAUUAAAAAA